GUAAAAUUCCGUGGAGGUCCGAACCACGUUGGUGUUGAAAAACCAUGGGAUGAGCUGUGGAUAGCGGAGAAAUUCCAAUCGAACUCGGAGAUAGCGGGUUCUCCUCGAAAUAGCUUUAGGGCUAGCGUCGGGUAAUUGAGUAGUGGAGGUAGAGCACUGAAUGGGCUAGGGGCUGACAACAGUUACUGAACCCUAUCAAACUCCGAAUGCCAUAUACUUGUACCCCGGCAGUCAGACUACGAAUGAUAAGAUCCGUGGUCAAAAGGGAAACAGCCCAGACCAUCAGCUAAGGUCCCAAAGUGUAAGUUAAGUGGGAAAGGAUGUGGGAUUUCUAAGACAACUAGGAUGUUGGCUUAGAAGCAGCCACUCAUUUAAAGAGUGCGUAAUAGCUCACUAGUCGAGAGAUCCUGCGCCGAAGAUGUAACGGGGCUCAAACUUACCACCGAAGCUAUGGAUGUGUACUUUGUACACGUGGUAGAGGAGCUUUCUGUACAGGUUGAAGUCAUACCGUAAGGAGUGGUGGACAGUACAGAAGUGAGAAUGCUGGCAUAAGUAGCGAAAAACAAGUGAGAAUCUUGUUGACCGAAUAUCUAAGGUUUCCUGGGGAAGGCUCGUCCUCCCAGGGUUAGUCGGGACCUAAGCCGAGGCCGA
rnacentral:rRNA from 1 species